CCUGGUUGAUGGGCCAACAUCAGCUUUGACUGYCAGAGAAGGGUAGGGGGAAUGUGGCACCCUUCCUGGGUGUGUUUAUAGCCCUCUGUCAUAUAUGGCCGUUGGGGCUGAGGAAUGCAGCGCGCCGCAGGCCGGGUUUUCGACCACGUUCGCGCUUAGGAUGUUGGCAUAAUGGCUUUAAUCGACCCGUCUUGAAACACGGACCAAGGAGUCUAACAUGCCUGCGAGUGUUUGGGUGCAAAACCCGAGUGCAUAAUGAAAGUGAAAGUUGAGAUCCCUGUCAUGGGGUGCAUCGACGCCCGGACCUGAGCUUUUUAGCAAUGGCUCUGCGGUAUAGCAUGUAUGUUGGGACCCGAAAGAUGGUGAACUAUGCCUGAAUAGGGCGAAGCCAGAGGAAACUCUGGUGGAGGCUCGUAGCGAUUCUGACGUGCAAAUCGAUCGUCGAAUUUGGGUAUAGGGGC
rnacentral:rRNA from 1 species